rnacentral:lncRNA from 1 species
UACAACGCCGAGGCCGCGCUCGGCGACGCGGUGGCCAAGGCCGUGCGGGCGGGCACGAUCGCCUCCCGGGACGAGGUCUACGUCACCUCCAAGCUCUGGAUCGCCGACGCGCACCCCGGCCGCGUCUUGCCGGCGCUCGAGAAGACACUACAGUGAGUAGAGUACAAAUCAUGGCCCAUUCCCCGAGAAAGCGUCAUUGACCAUCUUUUUUCUUGUCAGGAAUCUGCGGAUGGAGUACGUGGACCUGUACCUGAUUCACUUCCCGGUGAGCCAGCGGCCGUCGGAGGUUGAAGGAGGCCCGGUGCUGGUGAAGAAGGACCUGGUGGCGAUGGACAUGAAGGGGGUGUGGGAGGAGAUGGAGGAGUGCCACCGGCUAGGGCUGGC